rnacentral:miRNA from 1 species
CUUUUAUGGAGCCUGAGUGGACAUAUCUCCAGAGAUGAUCAGCUAUCAUGCAACUGUGGCAGGUCAGCAGCAAUCUGUUCUUUGAGGAUUCUUUUAAAUGAUUUGCAGAGACAGUUCCUUUGAGA